rnacentral:rRNA from 1 species
ACACAUGCAAGUCGCGCGGCCCGCAAGGGCAGCGGCGAACGGCUGCGUAACACGUUGGUACCUACCCCGCACUCAGGGAUAACCUGCCGAAAGGCGGGCUAAUACCGGAUAGUUCCCGUGAGGGUAAAGCUUCGGCGGUGCGGGAGGGGCCUGCGGCCUAUCAGUUUGUUGGCAGGGUAACGGCCUACCAAGACUAUGACGGGUAGCUGGUCUGAGAGGACGACCAGCCAGAAUGGGACUGCGACACGGCCCAUACUCCUACGGGAGGCAGCAGUGAGGAAUCUUCCGCAAUGGGCGAAAGCCUGACGGAGCGACACCGCGUGAAGGAUGAAGCCCUUUCUGGGUGUAAACUUCUGUUCUGAGGGACGAAAUUUUUGACGGUACCUCAGGAGAAAGCACCGGCUAAUUCUGUGCCAGCAGCCGCGGUAAGACAGAAGGUGCAAGCGUUACUCGGAAUUACUGGGCGUAAAGCGUCCGCAGGCCUUCCUGUAAGUCUGGCGUGAAAUCGUGGAGCUCAACUCCGCGCACGUGCCGGAAACUGCAGGAAUAGAGUCACUCAGAGGCAUCUGGAAUGCUGUGUGUAGGGGUAAAAUCCGUUGAUCCACAGUAGAACGCCAAAAGCGAAGGCAGGGUGCUGGGGGUGUACUGACGCUCAUGGACGAAAGCGUGGGGAGCAAACGGGAUUAGAUACCCCGGUAGUCCACGCCCUAAACGAUGCGUGCUCGGUGUUGGGAAUUACAAUCGUCCCAGUGCCUUAGCUAACGCGGUAAGCACGCCGCCUGGGUAGUACGGCCGCAAGGCUAAAACUCAAAGGAAUAGACGGGGACCCACACAAGCGGUGGAGCAUGGGGUUUAAUUCGAUAAUAAGCGAAGAACCUCACCCAGGUUUGACAUCUUGGAAAUCCCCUGGAAACAGGGGCGUGCCGCAAGGAAUCCAAAGACAGGCGCUGCACGGUCGUCGUCAGCUCGUGCCUUGAGGUGUACUGUUAAGUCAGCCAACGAGCGCAACCCUCGUCCUAUGUUGCUUUUUCAUAGGAGACUGCCGCCUCCAAGGCGGAGGAAGGUGGGGAUGACGUCAGAUCAGCGUGGCCUUUAUGCCUGGGGCAACACCCAUGCUACAAUGGUCGGUACAAAGGGCAGCGAACCCGCGAGGGGGAGCCAAUCCCACAAAACCGGCCUCAGUUCGGAUUGAAGUCUGCAACUCGACUUCAUGAAGCUGGAAUCGCUAGUAACCGUGGAUCAGCUACGCCACGGUGAAUACGUUCCUGGGUCUUGUACUCACCGCCCGUCAACUCAUGAAAGGCAGGGGCGCCUGAAGCACCUUACCCGCAAGGGGGG